rnacentral:rRNA from 1 species
AUAACGGUCCUAAGGUAGCGAAAUUCCUUGUCGGGUAAGUUCCGACCUGCACGAAUGGCGUAAUCAUGGCCACACUGUCUCCACCCGAGACUCAGUGAAAUUGAAUUUGCGGUUAAGAUGCCGUAUACCCGCGGCUAGACGGAAAGACCCCGUGAACCUUUACUAUAGCUUGACAGUGAACAUUGCUCCUACAUGUGUAGGAUAGGUGGGAGACUAUGAAACCAUGUCGCUAGAUGUGGUGGAGUCUACCUUGAAAUACCACCCUUGUAUGCGUGAUGUUCUAACCUAGGGCCCUUAUCGGGCUUGGGGACACUGUCUGGUGGGUAGUUUGACUGGGGCGGUCUCCUCCUAAAGAGUAACGGAGGAGCACGAAGGUUGGCUAAGUAUGGUCGGACAUCAUACGGUUAGUGCAAUGGCAUAAGCCAGCUUAACUGCGAGACAGACACGUCGAGCAGGUACGAAAGUAGGUCAUAGUGAUCCGGUGGUUCUGUAUGGAAGGGCCAUCGCUCAACGGAUAAAAGGUACUCCGGGGAUAACAGGCUGAUACCGCCCAAGAGUUCAUAUCGACGGCGGUGUUUGGCACCUCGAUGUCGGCUCAUCACAUCCUGGGGCUGAAGUCGGUCCCAAGGGUAUGGCUGUUCGCCAUUUAAAGUGGUACGCGAGCUGGGUUUAGAACGUCGUGAGACAGUUCGGUCCCUAUCUGCCGUGGGCGUUUGAGAAUUGAAGAGGGCUGCUCCUAGUACGAGAGGACCGGAGUGGACGAACCACUGGUGUUCGGGUUGUCAUGCCAAUGGCAUUGCCCGGUAGCUACGUUCGGAACUGAUAACCGCUGAAAGCAUCUAAGCGGGAAGCAGGCUUUGAGAUGAGUUCUCACUGGAGCUUUAAGCUCCCUAAAGGGUCGUUGGAGACUACAACGUUGAUAGGUCAGGUGUGUAAGGGUUGUGAGGCCUUGAGCUAACUGAUACUAAUUACCCGUGAGGCUUAAC